UUAAAUUGAAGAGUUUGAUCAUGGCUCAGAUUGAACGCUGGCGGCAGGCCUAACACAUGCAAGUCGAACGGUAACAGGAAACAGCU
rnacentral:rRNA from 2 species